GCCAUAGUGCGAAGGAGGAAUAUAGAAAUAAAGCCACAGGUCCAGACAUUAAGGACGUCAAUGUAGAAGGGAAGACAGACAAGAAAUGAAUACGCGGCAUAUAACGCAGUAAGCGGAAACGUGAAUCCUUGCAUGUCUUCUCCACGUCAGUCAUCAUGCCGACUGCUGAGGAUACUCACAAGAUUCAUAAUUUAGUGGAGAUCACUGAAACAGCUGGAUAAGGAAACUGAAGCACAGGAAUGACGAGAAAUGUAUCCAGGGCUACAUAGCAAAGAGUACUGUUGGAGUUGAGCCUAAUGUUCUUCCGUUUCUACAUUUCGCUUUGUCACAACAGGCAUUUGGAACUGCAAAGGGAGGAAAAAAAACAACGCUGUCAUGACAGAAACCAGGAAGAUAAUCCAGAAAGCAUCUCAAAGCUUGAUUAAGAGAGAGCACUGCUCAGACAUUUCAAAAUGGAAAAAGAUAAACAAAAACCUCUCAAAAAUGCAAUAUGGAUGAGGCUUGGUGGGUUGCAAGUGUUUAGAGAGCUCAUCACUUAAAGUAAGUGGUUGGUUUGGCCCAUGGCCACUGUUCUUUGAGUUAGCUUUGACCCUUAACAACUUAGUUGACUGGCUAGCGUGCCAGGACAUUCAACCCGAGCCUGAGAUUUACAAGAGAAGAGAACUGGCCUCUCUUGUUUGUGAAUACCAACAUUGACUCUUGGAACCAAGAAAAUGUUUUGUUAGGCUAUUUCUUUUCCUCACAAUAUCCCAUUGAGGGUCAUGAGUUCCUGAGGUGUGAAAAUAACUGGGAAAAUUCAGAAUUCAGCUAAUACCUAUUUGCUGAAUUCUGAGCACACAUCAGGCCUGUAGAAGCCAAGAACAUGUUUAUCAAUGCACAGAGCAAAGUUUCAAGCUUCCUGUAUAAUGACCUCUCGAUGUGAUAUAUGUAUGUUGAGUGCCCUACUGUGACUAAGAGCUAUCUAAAAAGGAAAAAAAUAUAGCCACCCCCUGAAGCAUGUAUAAAUUGCUUUUUUAGACCCUAUAAAAUUUUAGCUAGCACCAAACAUAGAACUUCAUUCAUCAUCCUACAAGUGAGGACUGCCAAGGGAAGCCAGUUCUUCCUGAGCCGAAAGUGGCAACACUCCAGGAUUGGCAGAAAUCAAAUGAAUCAUUUCCUGCUUUUAGUUUUAGAUAAAUAAUCAGAAAAGAUUGUCUAGAUUAUGGUCCAAAAGACAUUUUUCAUAACUCUGAGGAUCCAGAAUCUUUAAGAACUUCAUGUGAAAGCCCUCUAUUUCAAAUUAUUUUAUUGUACAGUACUGAAGCAAUGGUAGAUAAAUCCAUGAAAUUCAAACUAAAAUUUUGAAAUAGUGAAUAUGUACAAAACUCAGGGUGGUGAGUGUAUUGAGCCUGUCUCCUUAUUUUCCGUAUUUUGAUGCUUCGACAU
rnacentral:lncRNA from 13 species